rnacentral:tRNA from 1 species
UGCAUCGGCCGGGAAUCGAACCCGGGGCGCCCUUGCGUGGCAGGCGAGCAUUCUAAAACUGAACCAAAAGC